CUCCCGCCCCAACUUCGCGAUCCGUCCGCCGCUCCUCUCGUUCCCCUGUGUGCCCUGCCCCUGCAUUGAAGAUGACGCCGCCGUUCCGCAAGAGUCCAGAUCGAUCCGUCUUCCCGUCGUCGUCGAUCCUCCUCCGGCCUGCCUUCCGAUAUCAGGUGAAUCCCCCGCCGGCUUAAGAUCCCCUUCCAUUUUGUCAUCUUUUGCUGGUCGCCGCCGUCAUCACGCUCGUAUUCAUGAUCCUCUCCUUGACGCCCCGGAGGCACUGCAUCGCCAUCUACUCGUGCUGCAGAAGGAGCGAAGGGAAGGCAACGCAAAGCAACUGUGUGGCUUGGAGGAAGAGCUCCCGAGGCCUCAAGGGGCACGCAGAGAGAAGGUUCGUGCGCAGGGCAGAUUUGGCCAGGCAUCGAUCGGUUCCUGAUUUUCUUUUCAACUUCUCGACUCAAGACCUUCUUGUAGUUACUGAUGAGCUGGACAGUUGGAUCGCCGGCGACGAGCGCCUACUAGAUGUCCUUGUGCACUGCUGCAGUUAUGUUGCGGGUGUGUGCUUCGCCAACACAUGGAGCCCUGGACUCGCUGCUAGCUACAUGAUUUCUUUGCGUCCUCACCACUUCAGCUGGAUUUGUGCUCUGCUGCUUCAUCGUUCCAUUACAUUCAAAUGUACCACCAGCCGGUAUGCCAAUGAUCAGCUCACACUGGGCAUCAUCUUCCAUAACCUGAAUGAAUGCCUCACUGAUGCCUCCGGUGCUGAGGCAAUUAUUGACAGGAUACAUAGCAUGGGAUUAGUUUAAGUGAAUUAUCUCUGCUGUCAUGCUGAUAUCUGGGAUGCUCAUUUCAGAUGCCAUAGGCUGUUUCCCCUCUCCCUCGAUCCUGCAACCUGGACUCCUACAUGAAAGAGGCAUCUGGGGAAGCAGAAAUCGGAAUUGUCAUCUGUGACCUUCCGGUCAGUGUCAAGCUAACAGCAUGGCAGACAAUGUUCGACGCUUCGAAUGCCGAGGAGAUGGAAGCUUUGGCAUGUAAAGAGGGCAUUGGCCUGGCUGCUGAAUGGUUCCAGGAGCCAGUUAUGGAACCAGACUGCACGGUUGCCGUCCAAUAUUUGAAGGAGGUGAAGGUCUUGAAGCCUGUAUGUCUCUCCAUCAUUCAGGAGGCUUCUCAUGCGGCUAGUAGAUAGCCAGAUUUUGAGUUGAAUCAUGUAAAGAGAUAGGAAUUCAGUAGCCGAUGAUCUUGCACAAAUGGCGAAGUGACUGAACCACAGUGCUGUGUGGUGAGGCUGUUAUCCUGCCUGUACUAAGCAGCUGAUUGCUCUUGAUUGUAACAUUUCCAUGAGUAAUCAAUAAAAUCUCGAGUAUGUUUUAUGGUUCCCCA